GGACUUACUCUUCGGAGUGAGAGCGUACACAGGUGCUGCAUGGCUGUCGUCAGCUCGUGUCGUGAGAUGUUGGGUUAAGUCCCGCAACGAGCGCAACCCUGCAUUCAGUUGCCAUCGGUAAGGCCGGGCACUCUGGAUGGACUGCCGGCGACAAGCCGGAGGAAGGUGGGGACGACGUCAAGUCAUCAUGGCCCUUAUGUCCAGGGCGACACACGUGCUACAAUGGCCGGCACAACGGGAAGCGAAGGGGCGACCCUGAGCGGAUCCCACAAAAGCCGGUCCCAGUUCGGAUUGCAGUCUGCAACUCGACUGCAUGAAGUUGGAAUCGCUAGUAAUCGUGGAUCAGCCAAGCCGCGGUGAAUACGUUCCCGGGCCUU
rnacentral:rRNA from 1 species